AUGUACUGGACAACAGAAGUUUGCACGAUGUGCUUGAUAAUUUUAUCAUUUAACAUUAUCACUCAAAAUGCCACGGGAAAUCUUUAUCAUCUAGCCCUUAGAAGUCCCAGAGUACAGCAUACACUCUAGAUGUCGUAGCGCUCCUCAGGUGUAAAGUGGAUUUUGCUCAGGUCUCACUGGUACGAGAACCGGACACCCUGAAGCAGCUCGGUUCUGACGCCACACUGCAAGAUGACGUCAUCGAAGAUUUCACGAAAGAUAGUGCCACUAUUAUGCUUACGUUGAUUCAAUCUGCUGAUCUUAUCGGCGAUUGGUUGUUGAAAGUUUAGUCUAAAAGUCGAGUCCGGAUAAUAAGUCCGGUCCGCAUAAUGAACUGUGAAGAUAAAGUCUAUAAGUCUGGUCCGGAUAAUGAAAUCAGUAUAUUAGUCGAAAAGUGCGGUCCGGAUUAUUAUUUACGUAGGUUUAGUCUAAAAGUCUGGCUGGAUAAUGACCAAUGUAGGUUCAGUUUAAAAGUCUGGUCGGAUAAUGAACUACAUAUAUGUAGAUCUUGCAUUUAUAAAUGAGAAAUCUGGUUAAUACCAUGAGACUGGAAUAAUUUCCUAAUUUAACAUAAUACUCGAUCAUCAAUAUGAACUCUUGGUAAACAGGAUGGGGACCUCUAGUGCGAUUGGUAGUUCGCUAAAUUACUUAAACUUGUGUCUAUUGGCCCUGAAAUUAUACCGAAAGAAUUUAUCUGGUACAAAAAAUGAACUUUCAACAACCGAUCUAAUGCCGGAAGUUGAUUACGUUUUGAGUUGACGUAAGUGUAGUUGUUGAAGCCGGACAUAAUUGACGUCUACUAAGAACCACUAGACAUUAUAUCGACGAUACCAGGAAAUGACGGCCAUCAGUGACACUUCGUGCCAACAAACAUACGUCAUUAACGUUACUAGGCAACAAAAGUCAUCAAUUUUACUAGACACCAUACGUUGUUGACGUUACUGGGUAACAGACAGACGUCAUAACGUUACUGGGUAACAGACAGACGUCAUAACGUUACUGGGUAACAGACAGACGUCAUAACGUUACUAGGCAACAGACAGGCGUCAUGACGUGAUUAGGUAACAGACAGACGUCAUAACGUUACUAGGCAACAGACAGACGUAAUAACGUGACUAGGUAACAGACAGACGUCAUAACGUUACUGGGUAACAGACAGACGUCAUAACGUUACUAGGCAAUAGACAGACGUCAUAACGUUGCUAGGCAACAGGCAGACGUCAUAACGGUACUAGGUAACAGACACGUCAUAACGUUACUAGGCAAUAGACGGACGUCAUAACGUUACUAGGUAACAGACAGACGUAAUAACGUUACUAGGUAACAGACAGACGCCGUAACGUGACUAGACAACAGACAGACGUCAUAACGUUACUAGACAACAGACAGACGUCACUAACGUUAUAAACAGAGCGACGUGAGGUGACGUAAUGUAGAAUUGCAUGCGUGACCUUUUAACCUUGACCUAUCACAGCCUUUAUCAGUUCUUCGUCCAAUCCAAUAUUGUGUGCAUGACGUGUGCAGUUUGAGGUUAAAUGAAUGUUUGAUUGCGUAUGAAGCUGAAUGCACGUGGGAUGUAUGUAGCUGAAAGCGCGAGCGCUUGUGUGAGCACGUGGACUAGGUUUUGAAGAGCGGUUGGUCGCGUGAGUGUAAGAGAUUUCGGUAAGAGCAUGUGUUUUUUUUCAGCACACCACAUAACGUUCCUUGUGUUUAACUUUUUGUGCACAUACCGGUAUUUCAUUUCUUCCUUCCCAAGUUUUUUCUUAUUUUCCAUAUUUUUUUUGCUCCGUUUCGUUAGUCCUUUCUCUUCUUGAUAUGGUAUUUAAAUGUACCUUGUGCCUUUGACUGGCGAUUUAAAACAUUCACAAUACUUACUAGUUUCUUUCCUCCUUUUGAAGAUUUUUGCGGAGGGCUAGAUUUUGUAUAUCAUUUUCAUUUUAUUUUCACGAAAUAGAUGAACACAUUUUUUUUUUGGCUCACAUCUGUGCGGAAAGUCAGGUCCCCCUAUAAAGCUUACAGUACAAGGGAGGCAACUCUCGAGUUUAUGAAAAGUUCACGGGACAGACGCAUGGCCGAGUCGAGGAUUUCCCGACUUACAGACAGAAGAUUCACGACCCAAGAUUGAGAGGAGAAAGUACCCACGCUUCCUUAUCACUUGUUCGUCACAGUCUUAAUCUGUAGCACUGGACGGAGAACUGAUAAGGGCUUGUGGGUAAAUAGUCAGCCAUCUUGUUUUAAUGUUGAAUUCGUGAUGAGAGUAAUUCAGCUGUCACCACUUGGCCGGAAC